CAGUAGCCGCGGUAAUACGAAGGUCCCGAGCGUUGUUCGGAAUCACUGGGCGUAAAGGGAGCGUAGGCGGCGUGGUAAGUCAGAUGUGAAAUCCCGGGGCUCAACCCCGGAACUGCAUCCGAUACUGCCAUGCUAGAGGAUUGGAGAGGUAGCUGGAAUUCUUGGUGUAGCAGUGAAAUGCGUGGAGAUCAAGAGGAACACUCGUGGCGAAAGCGAGCUACUGGACAAUAACUGACGCUGAGGCUCGAAGGCCAGGGUAGCGAAAGGGAUUAGAUACCCGGGUAGUCCCUGUCUCUUAUAC
rnacentral:rRNA from 1 species